AUACGGAGGGUGCAAGCGUUGUUCGGAAUCACUGGGCGUAAAGGGCGCGCAGGCGGUUUGGUAAGUCAGAUGUGAAAGCCCACGGCUCAACCGUGGAAGUGCAUUUGAAACUGUCCGACUUGAGUACCAGAGGGGAAAGUGGAAUUCCCGGUGUAGAGGUGAAAUUCGUAGAUAUCGGGAGGAAUACCGGUGGCGAAGGCGACUUUCUGGCUGGAUACUGACGCUGAGGCGCGAAAGCGUGGGGAGCAAACAGGAUUAGAAACCCUAGUAGUCC
rnacentral:rRNA from 1 species